rnacentral:rRNA from 1 species
GACGAACGCUGGCGGCGUGCCUAAUACAUGCAAGUUGAGCGCUGAAGGUUGGUACUUGUACCAACUGGAUGAGCAGCGAACGGGUGAGUAACGCGUGGGGAAUCUGCCUUUGAGCGGGGGACAACAUUUGGAAACGAAUGCUAAUACCGCAUAAAAACUUUAAACACAAGUUUUAAGUUUGAAAGAUGCAAUUGCAUCACUCAAAGAUGAUCCCGCGUUGUAUUAGCUAGUUGGUGGGGUAAAGGCUCACCAAGGCGAUGAUACAUAGCCGACCUGGGAGGGUGAUCGGCCACAUUGGGACUGAGACACGGCCCAAACCCCUACGGGAGGCAGCAGUAGGGAAUCUUCGGCAAUGGACGAAAGUCUGACCGAGCAACGCCGCGUGAGUGAAGAAGGUUUUCGGAUCGUAAAACUCUGUUGGUAGAGAAGAACGUUGGUGAGAGUGGAAAGCUCAUCAAGUGACGGUAACUACCCAGAAAGGGACGGCUAACUACGUG